rfam:Dipodomys ordii contig_13786, whole genome shotgun sequence.
GGUGGCUCAAUGGUAGAGCGCUUGCCUUUCAUUCAUGAGGCCCUGGGUUCAAUUCCUCAGCACCA